UCGAACGAUGAAAGAGAAUCCGAUCUCUUCGGAGUGAAGAAUCUCUGGAUCAUUGACGGACGGGUGAGUAACGCGUGAGCAAUCUGCCUUACACAAAGGGAUAGCCUCGGGAAACCGGGAUUAAUACCAUAUGAUAUCUAUUAACCGCAUGGUUUAUAGAUUAAAGAAUUUCGGUGUAAGAUGAGCUCGCGUCCCAUUAAUUAGUUGGUGAGGGUAACGGCCCACCAAGAUAGCGAUGGGUAGCCGAUCUAAGAGGAUGACCGGCCACAUUGGGACUGAGAAACGGUCCAAACUCCUACGGGAGGCAGCAGUGGGGAAUAUUGCACAAUGGGGGAAACCCUGAUGCAGCGACGCCGCGUGAGCGAUGAAGGCUUUCGAGUCGUAAAGCUCUGUCCUAUGGGAAGAUAAUGACGGUACCAUAGAAGAAAGCCCCGGCUAAUUACGUGCCAGCAGCCGCGGUAAUACGUAAGGGGCGAGCGUUGUCCGGAAUUAUUGGGCGUAAAGAGUGCGUAGGCGGCAAAUUAAGUCAGAUGUGAAAACUAAGGGCUCAACCCAUAGAUUGCAUCUGAAACUGAUAUGCUUGAGUCAAGGAGAGGAAAGUGGAAUUCCUAGUGUAGCGGUGGAAUGCGUAGAUAUUAGGAGGAAUACCGGUGGCGAAGGCGACUUUCUGGACUUGAACUGACGCUGAGGCACGAAAGCGUGGGGAGCAAACAGGAUUAGAUACCCUG
rnacentral:rRNA from 1 species